AGGGGGACCGAUCAGCCCGCCGCGUGGUGUGAGAACGUCUCGGUGCGUAAAGUCCUUUCAUCUAAGGAAGAUACGCGCACGGCGGUUUAUAUAGCCUAAGGGCCGAGAUAUCUCUCGGCCAACAAGCGCCGGUCUUACGCCGUGCCAGCAGCCGCGGUAAUACGA
rnacentral:rRNA from 1 species